AGCAGCCGCGGUAAUUCCAGCUCCAAUAGCGUAUAUUAAAGUUGUUGCAGUUAAAAAGCUCGUAGUUGAACUUCGGGGUUCCCCCAUUGGUCAGGCUUAACUGUCUGCACUGGUGGGAGAGGGAUUCUUACCUUCUGAGGAAUCUCCAUGCCAUUAAUUUGGUGUGGUGGGGAAUCAGGACUAUUACUUUGAAAAAUUAGAGUGUUUAAAGCAGGCUAACGUCUGAAUACAUUAGCAUGGAAUAAUGAAAUAGGACGGCUUGGUUCUAUUUUGUUGGUUUCUAGGAUCACCGUAAUGAUUAAUAGGGAUAGUUGGGGGCAUUAGUAUUCAAUUGUCAGAGGUGAAAUUCUUGGAUUUAUUGAAGACUAACUACUGCGAAAGCAUUUGCCAAGGAUGUUUUCAUUAAUCAAGAACGAAAGUUAGGGGAUCGAAGAUGAUCAGAUACCGUCG
rnacentral:rRNA from 1 species